rnacentral:rRNA from 1 species
CUAAGUUUGAUGGCGACCGGCGCACGGGUGAGUAACACGUAUCCAACCUGCCGAUGACUCGGGGAUAGCCUUUCGAAAGAAAGAUUAAUACCCGAUGGCAUAAUUCUUCCGCAUGGUAGAACUAUUAAAGAAUUUCGGUCAUCGAUGGGGAUGCGUUCCAUUAGGUUGUUGGCGGGGUAACGGCCCACCAAGCCUUCGAUGGAUAGGGGUUCUGAGAGGAAGGUCCCCCACAUUGGAACUGAGACACGGUCCAAACUCCUACGGGAGGCAGCAUG